GAGGGCCCCGGAACUCGAGCCG
rnacentral:miRNA from 1 species